GACGAACGCUGGCGGCGUGCUUAACACAUGCAAGUCGAACGAUGAAGCUGGAGCUUGCUCCGGUGGAUUAGUGUCGAACGGGCGAGUAACACGUGAGCAAUCUGCCCUUGACUCUGGGAUAACUGCGGGAAACUGUAGAUAAUACCGGAUCCGAGGCUCGAAGGCAUCUUCGGGUCUGGAAAGAAUUUCGGUCAAGGAUUAGCUCGCGGCCUAUCAGGUUGUUGGUGAGGUAAUGGCUCACCAAGGCGACGACGGGUAGCCGGCCUGAGCGGGUGACCGGCAACACUGGGACUGAGACGCGGCCCAGGAUCCUUCGGGAGGCAGCAGUGGGGAAUAUCGAACAAUGGGCGAAAGCCUGAUGCAGCAACGUCGCGUGAGGGAUGAAGGCCUUCGGGUUGUAAACCUCUUUUAGCAGGGAAGAAGCGAAAGUGACGGUACCUGCAGAAAAAGCACCGGCUAACUACGUGCCAGCCGCCGCAGUAA
rnacentral:rRNA from 1 species